CCUGCCCUCGUGUGGGGGAUAGCCAUGCUAACGCGUGGGUAAUACCGCAUACGUUCUUCAGGGGGAGUCCCCUGGGGAAGAAAGCUCUGGCGCACGGGAGGGGUUCGCGGCCUAUCAGCUAGUUGGUGCGGUAACGGCGCACCAAGGCGACGACGGGUAGCUGGUCUGAGAGGAUGGCCAGCCACAUUGGGACUGAGAUACGGCCCAG
rnacentral:rRNA from 1 species